GGACCCGCACAAGUAGUGGAGCAUGUGGUUUAAUUCGAAGAUACGCGCAGAACCUUACCAACACUUGACAUGUUCGUCGCGACUUUAAGAGAUUAAAGUUUUCGGUUCGGCCGGACGAAACACAGGUGCUGCAUGGCUGUCGUCAGCUCGUGUCGUGAGAUGUUGGUUAAGUCCCGCAACGAGCGCAACCCUCACUUUUAGUUGCCAUCAUUAAGUUGGGCACUCUGAAAGAACUGCCAGUGAUAAGCUGGAGGAAGGUGGGGAUGACGUCAAGUCCUCAUGGCCCUUACGUGUUGGGCUACACACGUGCUACAAUGGUAUCUACAACAGGAAGCAAAACAGCGAUGUUAAG
rnacentral:rRNA from 1 species